CUUGUAGUAAAGAACCAUAUUUCGUAGCGCUUCUACUGAUGGCGUCUGUUUACUCUUGGGUUUUCAGGAUUACAAAAUUCUUUUGUUCAUUUGGUACCGAAGUUCACAUCGGUAUGUUGUGUUGCACGCAUAUAUGUUAUGAUCGCAUUGAAGUGUGACAUCAUGUUGUUGCUAAGAAAUUAUGACGUGGGAAGUGAACGCAUCGUUGUUGUAACAGCUAUUGCUGUGUGAAUCUAGCUUCUUGUUAAUGGUACAUAAUGCAUUGAUCAAUCAUUUUCUCCCUUUAUCUUUCGAUAGAUUUAAAUUUGCACUUAAUUUACGUUACACGGUCUAAUGACUCGUACUUGUUUACGAAAGCAAACAAUUUGACGAUGAGCCUCAAAUCAAGUUGCAUGUGCAAUUGAGCCAACUCAUCCUGCAGAUAUGGGUGCACUAAGGGUUUGCGGCUGUUGAACCGGGCUGAUCCGUUUGUUGGGGUAACAGUUUGUGAUAGGGGUGAAAAUGUUGUGUCUGCUGCAGGAGAGGUACAUCUUGAAAGAUGCAUAAAAGAUUUGAAGGAGAGAUUUGCAAUGGUAAGCCUGGAAGUGUCUCCACCUCUCGUGUCUUAUAAAGAGACCAUUGAGGGUAAUGUAGGUGAUGAACGUGAGAAUUUGAAAUUCUUUCGUUCAAGCUCAGAUUAUGUUGAGAAAAGGACAGCAAAUGGUAGGUGUACGAUAAGGGUGCAAGUCAUAAAGCUCCCUCCUUUAGUUAAAGUGCUUGAAGAUAGUUCUGAUUUAGUUGGAGAUAUUCUUGGAGGUAGGGCUUCAAAGGAAGCCUCGGCUUGUGGAAGCCAUGUACUUCUGUGAGUUGAACACGACAACUGAGCAUUUGGGUUCUAUGUACGCUGUGCUUGGGAGAAGGCGGGCUAGAGUUUUGAAGGAGGAAAUGCAGGAAGGCUACCCAUUGUUUUUUUGCGGAUGAGCUUAGAAGAUGGACUGCUGGUGCUGCAAGUGCUCUUCUUGUGCUUAGUCACUGGGAAGCACUUCCAGAGGAUCCCUUCUUUGUACCGAAAACAGAAGAAGAACUUGAGGAGUUUGGUGACGGUUCUAGUGUGCUUCCCA
rnacentral:lncRNA from 1 species